ACAUUCUAGAAUUCCUGCUGUGCGAGU
rnacentral:piRNA from 1 species